UACGGAGGGUGCAAGCGUUGUCCGGAAUCACUGGGCGUAAAGGGCGCGUAGGCGGCUCGGUAAGUAGGGGGUGAAAUCCUGCGGCUCAACCGCAGGGCUGCCUUCUAAACUGUCGAGCUCGAGCACGGUAGAGGCGGAUGGAAUUCCCGGUGUAGCGGUGGAAUGCGUAGAGAUCGGGAAGAACAUCAGUGGCGAAGGCGGUCUGCUGGGCCGUUGCUGACGCUGAGGCGCGACAGCGUGGGGAGCAAACAGG
rnacentral:rRNA from 1 species